rfam:Lactobacillus kefiranofaciens subsp. kefirgranum DSM 10550 = JCM 8572 strain DSM 10550 NODE_375, whole genome shotgun sequence.
AUGACCUUUAAAGUUAGUCCCGUGAGGCUAAGAAGGAAAUCUGCGUUUAGCUAGUCUUAUUUGUGCUAGCAAUAACAGAAAGACCAUCUUGGACUCAGUAUCCUUGCUGGUCUUUUUUCU